rnacentral:rRNA from 1 species
UAAUACGUAGGGGGCGAGCGUUGUCCGGAUUUAUUGGGCGUAAAGAGCUCGUAGGCGGCUUGGCAAGUCGGGUGUGAAACCUCCAGGCUCAACCUGGAGACGCCACUCGAUACUGCUAUGGCUAGAGUCCGGUAGGGGACCACGGAAUUCCUGGUGUAGCGGUGAAAUGCGCAGAUAUCAGGAGGAACACCGGUGGCGAAGGCGGUGGUCUGGGCCGGCACUGACGCUGAGGAGCGAAAGCGUGGGUAGCAAACAGGAUUAGAUACCCUGGUAGUCCACGCCGUAAACGUUGGGCACUAGGUGUGGGGCCUUAUCAACGGGUUCCGUGCCGUAGCUAACGCAUUAAGUGCCCCGCCUGGGGAGUACGGCCGCAAGGCUAAAACUCAAAGGAAUUGACGG